AGGCGUGAAAUGAAAUGUAAAGUUUGGGGGUGAGUAUUGCAGAAGAUUUGCACUGCAUUGCUUUGCUUGUAGUUGGUUAAACACUGCUUCUUAUUAUAAUUUGUUGAGGCGGUGAUGAUGAUGAAGGAUGGUUAUGGCGAGGCGUUCAUGACGCAGCCACUACUUGUCUUUCUCUCUGAGCCUUUUUUGAUGCCAUUUUUGCAUUUCAACUUUUCGAGUGAGGUUUUGACGAGUUUUUCACUCUCAUUUCCAAUGAUCCAUACUCAAUGUGUGAGAGAUACACUCUCUACUACACACACCAUCACCACCACCACCACCAACAACAAUAACAACAUAACCUCUCUUUCUCUUUCUCUCUCUAUCUACUUCAUAAUCAUCAUCAAUAAUCAUGUUCAUAACCUUCUUUCUCUCUUCUUCUUUUCGGAGGCCGUGAUGAUGAUGCAUGGAUAAUCAGAUCGGACAUUGUUAGUGAAGAACAAAAGAGACCUCUCAUGGCGAGGCGACCGCAGUCGCAGCCAUGCUCUUCUUCACUCUCUUCUCUGAAAAUACAAAUCUAUUUCUAUCUGAGCCUCCUAUUUUUCUAUAACACCCCCACACUCUCGCUAUUUCAUUUCCUUAGUUAUUAUUUUAGUUUCUACUAGCAUUAACUUUUCUGCUAUGUUUCUGUAUUCGGAUUGAGAGACUGUGAUAGAUUAGGGUUUGAGUCUCUCUCAUGUUUCACUUCGUCUCUUUCUUUUCAGGUGCUACCAACCUAAACAUAACAUGCUGAAGAAAUAGGAUAUUGAUUCUGUUCAUAAAAUGUAAACAGGGUGAUACUAACCAAACCACAAGAUGCUAAACAAAUAGGAAUCAGGAUACCACUGGAUAUCAUCAUGGAUGAUUAUAUUCUUUCAAAAGAUCCACUUCAGAUUCAACUUUGGAGUUGCCAACUUACCUAAAUAGGUUUUUAUCAAUCUUCAAAAUGAGAAGAGCCUAAAGGUGGUGCAUUGAAAAACCAAGAUGCCAAUAUAUAAAGAUGGUAAACAAAUAGGAUAUUGUUUCUCUUCAAGAAAUGUAAAUGGGGUUCAGAAUAAAUAUUGUUCCGGCAACUAAGAAUGUUCAAGUUAUCCCUAGUUUAUCUUUUUUCACUUUUAGGCGUGUAAUACGCAAAAAGUGCUCUAUUCAGCACACUGCUGCAUACCAUAUUGGAUUAUGUUGUUCCUUCUUGACCUAAUUUUUUGCAAUACCUGUUUUCUUUUCCAUUACUUUUGGGUUUGAUCUUUCAGAAGAUCCAUGACAAAUUGAUUAUCAUCUUAAUACCCAUGGCAAGGAGAUAGGUCCUAAAUCAACUGAAAACUUUGUAAAAAUCUUUAAUACAAGGUGAUGAUGGGAAAAGGUUGUUUGUUGAACUGUUUCUUCUUGUUUGUUGGGUGUUGGUUUGAAUGAGGCAGUGAUGAUGGAUGGCUCUGGCGAGGCGUUUCUAUCAUGUUGAUUGUUGACGCAGUCAGCCAUCUCUCUUUCUGAGCCUCUCCAUUGGCAACUACUUGUUAACUUGUGAGGCUUUGCUGCUCUUGGUGAUCACUUUUUUGGUCUCUGAGAUGCUUUCAUUGCCAAUGAUUAUUCAUACUUCUGUCCCCUCUCUACACACAACAACCAAACACACAAACCCUUCAUGAUCUUCAAUCUUUCUUCUUCUCUUUUGGAAUAUAACAAGGCAGUGAUGAUAUUUCACGCAACUGAUUCAGACAUUGUGAGCGAAGAAAAAGACGUGUACUGGAAAGGCGACUCUGUGUCUGUGGGUCCUUCCUUAGGUGCCUGUAGUUGCAGCCAUGCUCGUCCUCCUCCUCUCCGCUCUCUUAUCUGAUGAACCACCUAAUCUGAGCCUUGUAUUCUUCAAAACCCCCUCUCUUCGGCUUUUCCCCUUAUUGUAGCUCAAUUUUUCUAUCUAGAAAAUAAGUAAAUUUGUUUUCAAUGUGCAGUCCAGUAUUCUCAAAUAGCGGCUAAAGUGGGGCUAUAUCACUACAACACAGCAGAAUUUGAGCCAACUGCUAUUGUUUGCAAACUGCAAUAUGUUGUCAAAUUGUACAACUAACAGAAUUUGAUUAAACUGCUAUUUUCCAUUAUCCCUGAUUGGCAAAAUGGUUUCAUUCAUCUCACCCCUAUGCAUUUAUUCUAACACCUAAUAUUGUUUCCUUUGCUUACUUGUUUUUUUCUUUUUGGUACUUGUCCCCCUUUUAUUGGAGUUUUCUGCCUUAGUCCUCCAAAAUUCUCCAUUUGGCACUUCCAUUCAUAUCUUUGCUUUUUAAUAAUUCUAAUAUUUUUGUCAUUUCUUGACAAUGUUUUUCCUGUUUUGUUUGAGUCAGGAGUGAGGCUGAGAUAGAUUAUGGCGAGAGUCUGUCUGGUUUCCGUGUGAACCAGUGAUGAAUAUGGACAGAGAAAAGGCUCUUGAAGAAUGAAUGUGUUACAAACAAAGUACAAGAUUUCAAUAUAUAACAAAGCUAAAAAAUAUGAAGUUGAUUGUGUUGAAGAAAAGGGCUCUAAAUUAAGACUACACACCAGACCAAGAGGCUCUAAAUUAUGACUACACACCAGACCAAGAGGCUCUAAAUUAAGACCAGGUCCUCCUUCUAAGGGAAUUUCAUUUCAGUAAUUAAAAAACAAAAAAUAUAUAAAAGAAAGGAGGGGGAAAUGAUUUAUUGAAGGUAAACAAAAAGGCCGAAGAAAUUGUUAUGACGAAAAGGGAAAAGAUUGUGAAUAGCCCAAAAUGUAGAGGUGUUGUUGAGGACAGGUAAUUAGGGUGAAAUGAAAUGUCGAUUUGAGGAAAGCUAGAUAGCCAAUUGCGAAAGAAGAGGCGGAAUAUAGAGAAAGAAAGGAAACAUGUGAAACGGGAAUGCUUUAGCAGACGGUGAUACAAUAAAAAACACAAGAUGCCAAUAUCUCAGGAUGCUAAACAAAUAGGAUAUUGAUUCUGUUCAAGAAAUGUAAAUGAGGUGUUAAUGAAGUAAAACACGAUAUCCCAAUGUGUAAAGAAGCUAAACAAAUAGGAAAUCGAUCUGUCGAAGCGAUAGGGUACAUUAUUCUCUUGUCUCAUUGACUACGCAUCAAAUCAAGUCCAUUAUUUAGAAGAAUCAUCAAGCCAAAUAACAAUAACUAAGUUCUAGUGUUUGCUCUUAAAUUCGAGAUUCUCUACAAUCAAGUCCAUUAUUUAGUGCAAGCUGUCUUGGGAGGUUGAUCAGAGUCAGAAACCUGGUCCCCAAAUUUCUUUUGUUGUAAAUUGUAAAUAAGUAGAAAUUGUUUGCCAGAAAUUGCUGUUUCUUUAUAUAUGUUGAGUAAUGAAUUUCAUUGUUACCUAGUUGAUCAGAAAAA